ensembl:snoRNA
ACCUUCUUUUUUAAGCUCUGUGCUAAAAUAGCAGAAACUAGUAUCUGCAGUGUCUUAGUCCUUGUAAUAAAGCUGGCAGAGUAAACAAAGAGAAACACAACUGUACAGAUGGUAGAACAACCACAGGUAACUCCAAGGUGUUUUGUUCUAAGAUUUGGUACAAUCAUA